rnacentral:rRNA from 1 species
GACAGAGGUGCCGAGCGUUUAGGCGGAAUCACUGGGCUUAAAGCGUGUGUAGGCGGGCCGUUAAGUGUCUUGUGAAAUCCCCCGGCUCAACCGGGGAAUUGCUGGGCAUACUGGCGGUCUUGAGCAAUCUAGGGGCAGAUGGAACAAGUGGUGGAGCGGUGAAAUGCGUAGAUAUCGAUCUGGAACGCCGGAAGGUGAAAACAGCUCGCUGGGGCCGCGCUGACGCUGAGAACACGGAAAGCCAGGGGAGCGAACGGG